CAGUGUCAUCCUGCAGAAUAAAGAAUCCCUGACGGAUAAAGUCAUCCUGGAUGUGGGCUGUGGGACUGGGAUCAUCAGUCUCUUCUGUGCACACUAUGCGCGGCCUAAAGCGGAGAGUAGAUGACGGGCUGUGUGCCGGCCGGAUGUGUGCUGACGGUGCCUCUGCUGCUGCAGGUGUACGCGGUGGAGGCCAGUGAGAUGGCACAGCACACGGGGCAGCUGGUCCUGCAGAACGGCUUUGCCGACAUCAUCACCGUGUACCAGCAGAAGGUGGAGGAUGUGGUGCUGCCCGAGAAGGUGGACGUGCUGGUGUCUGAGUGGAUGGGGACCUGCCUGCUGGUGAGGGCGGGCGUGCGGGCAGCUGGGGGCCCGAGAAGGUGGACGUGCUGGUGUCUGAGUGGAUGGGGACCUGCCUGCUGGUGAGGGCGGGCGUGCGGGCAGCUGGGGGCCGGAGCUGGGGGGCUUCCGAGCACGGGCUCGGCUGGGCCAACCUCAGGAUCUCAAGGGUCGUGCGUGAUUCAUUUUGAUGUUUUCCCUAAUGUGAGGUCUAAUUAAUUUCUUGUGUGGACAUUG
rnacentral:sRNA from 1 species